AAGCAUUGACCCCAGUGUUGUCCAGCCCUCUACACCUUCACUUUCUGUUAGUGCCUCAAUCCAUCCUGAAACCGCACAGCAACCUCCUUCUCCAGGUUUCAUCAUUCUGUAUGUGUUGGUUUCACUGCUGUUCUCAGGAUUUGCUCUCAGUGUUUUAGUGCUAUUCUGCAAACGACGAAGGAAUAUCACAACUUCAUCAGUUGCUCUUCGCUCACUAGCAACAGAGAGGAAUAUUGCAACAAAUGAAGAUACGACCAACAAUGAAAAUGAUCCACCUGAAAAUGACGACUCUACUGAGAUCAAUCCAGUCUACCAUACUGUAAAUUCCAACCCUUACCAAUUAGAUCCCUUAUACGCCAGUGUUAAACCCAAAACAAUCCAAAUAGACCCAAUCUACCUGAGUGAAAACCCAAGCACUAACCAAUCAGAUCCAGUCUGCCAGAGUCUAAACAGAAGCAGUAGCCAAUCAG